CACACACACACACACACACACACACACACACACACACACACAUUCGUACGCACACAUCGUUAAGACCUGACGAGGGAACAAAGCAGGGUUCAGUUUUUUAAGAAAGCAAUGUCAUCUGAGCAGCAUGUGACCACCCAUCUGACAGUUUAAAUGUUUACGAUCGUCUGAAACAACUUCCAUACCUCACGAAAACAUAUUUAAACAGAUGGAAAAAACUAUCGCAGAACACAGUGUCACGUAGCAACUGGUCUUUACGGUCGUUUGAAACAACAGGUCAGUUUGGGGGACAAAGCAGGGUUCAGUUUUUACUGACUUCCCAUCUGACAGUUUAAAUGUUUAUGAUCGUCUGAAACAACAGGUCAGUUUGGGGUACAAAGGAGGGUUCAGUUUUUAUGGAAGCUUGAGAAUGUCGUAUGAAUAGCAACUGGCCACCCAUUUGACAGUUUAAAUGUUUACGAUCGUCUGAAACAACUUCCAUACCUCACGAAAACAUAUUUAAACAGAUGGAGAAACUAGAGCAGAACACAGUGUAACCGCGAUUUGCAAAAUGAAAGGUAAUUUCUUUUUUUUUUUUUUUUUCAUUCCUUGUAACACGUCUGUUUAAUGUUACUAUAAUAAGUAUUUAUUCGAACUAAAAACAGUCGAACAUCGAGUUGAAAUUCACCCACCACCAAGGGAUCUCCUAACAGAGUCUCCAAUCCUUUUGUCCGAUGACGACGAAGUGAAAGACGAAGAACUUUGUUUGAUCGAUCUUACAAAGUUGGAAGAUGAUUAUCGAGAGGAUUCGCCGGAAGAGACCAACGCGAUCCCUUUAACCCAAU